GCGGCCGUUGUCUAGUCUGGUAGGACUUCAGCCUCCCACGCUGAAAGCCCGGGUUCAAAUCCCGGCGGCCGCA
rnacentral:tRNA from 1 species